UUUAAAGAAAGCGUAAUAGCUCACUAGUCGAGUCGGCCUGCGCGGAAGAUGUAACGGGGCUCAAACCACACACCGAAGCUGCGGGUGUCACGUAAGUGACGCGGUAGAGGAGCGUUCUGUAAGCCUGUGAAGGUGAGUUGAGAAGCUUGCCGGAGGUAUCAGAAGUGCGAAUGCUGACAUGAGUAACGACAAUGGGUGUGAAAAACACCCACGCCGAAAGACCAAGGGUUCCUGCGCAACGUUAAUCGACGCAGGGUUAGUCGGUUCCUAAGGCGAGGCUGAAAAGCGUAGUCGAUGGGAA
rnacentral:rRNA from 1 species